CCUCCUGAGUAGCCCAGUUUGGUUCUGACCUCAGUGCUCCCACUCAACUUUUGAGUCGUGGUGUGCGUCUAAUUGAGUUGCUGAAGCAAGGACAGUGUUCUCCCAUGGUUACUGAAGAACAAGUGGCUGUUAUCUAUGUGGGUGUAAAGGGGGUAUCGUGAUAAACUGGAGCCCAGCAAGAUUACGAAAUUUGAGAAUGCUUUCUUGUCUCGUGUUGUCAGCCAGCACUAAGCCCUGCUGGGCACUAUCAGGGCUGAUGGAAAGAUCUCAGAAGACUCAGAUGCAAAGCUGACGGAGAUUGUAACAAACUUCUGGCUGGAUUUGAAGCUUAAACUCCUAUGGAUUCACAUCAAAUAUCAGUUCAGUUUUGUCAUUGUUUGUUCUAGUAAAUUAGGUUCGUUUGUAAAAGGGUUACUCUCAUACUCCUUAUGUACAAAAAUCACAUUUAAAAGUUUCCGUAAUGCAUUAAAAAAAAAAAAGAAAAAAAGAAUUCCAGGGACCAGGCGGCCGCCGCAGUUGAGCACAGCUGCUCCGUGCUGGAGUCCUUGCACCACUACCAGGAUCAUGGUGUUCUACUUCACCAGCAGCAGCGUUAAUUCAUCUGCCUGCACUAUUUACAUGGGAAAGGAUAAAUAUCAUCAUGAAGAUCUGAUCAAGCAUGAUUGGCCUCAAUAUAUCUGGUUUCAUGUGGCCAAAGUCUCUUUGGCUCAUAUGUACCUUCGGUUGCAUAAGGGAGAGAAUAUAGAAGACAUUCCAAAGGAAGUGCUGAUAGACUGUGCCCACUUGUGAAGGCCAAUAGCAUUCAAGGCUGCAAAAUGAACAGCGUUAAUGUGGUAUAUAUGCUGUGGUCUAAUCUGAAGAAAACAGCUGACGUGGAUGUGGGGCAGAUAGUAUUUCACAGGCAGAAGGAUGUAAAAAUUGUGACAAUGGAGAAGAAAGUAAAUGAGAUCCUAAACCGAUUAGAAAAAAGCAAAGUGGAGCGGUUCCCAGACCUAGCAGCAGAGAAAGAAUGCAGAGAUUGUGAAGAGAAGAAUGAGAAAGAAGCCCAAAUUCAGGAAAUGAAAAAGAGAGAAAAAGAAAAUAUGAAGAAGAGAGAAAUGGAUGAACUUAGGAGCUAUUCAUCACGAAUGAAAGUUGAAAAUAUGUCUUCAAAUCAGGAUGGCAGUGAUUCAGAUGAAUUCAUGUAACAGGAGAAAAGGACCUUUGAAAGAUGUGAAUGUAGAGACAAUUGCAGACCUUUUGGUUUCAUCUGUGUUCUGAAGUAUAAAAUGCAACCAAAAUUCUACUUUCAUCCUACCCAGAAAUGAUUGACUUUGGAGUUUUAAAAAAAUUUUACCUUUUUUGCUGACAUAAAAGGAUCAGAUAUGUAUAAAAUAGUUGAACUUGACUGCAUAUAACUUAAAGUGAAAAUGUUUUGGCUAGAACAUGUCUUGGUACCUUGUGAAAGCCAGCUGCCCUUGUUCUUGAGCUAGACUUUAAAACGAACUAACUCUGAAAAGUACUUCUGUUGCUGUGGUCUAUCCCUGAAAACAGGUGUCUUGAAACACUUUUCAUAUUCUUAAAAUAAUCUUCACUUCUGUUAAGAAGAACAUGUUGAUGGGUAAUUAUGCGAAUGUUUCCCUGUCCCUGAUUUCGCCGUUAGAAAAAAUGGUGUAUGAGUUUUGAAAAAGAGAUUUCCAGAAGAUUGUUGGCUUCAGUAUUCACGUUCCAUCGUGUCAUCUGGGUCUGUUAGUAUAGUGACCCUGCACGCAGCCUGUCCCAGCUUUUACGUCCUUGCUUCCUCUGAGCAGGGGACUCCAUCUUAGUAUCAUCAUAUUUAAAUAAAUCGAUGGUGUUCAUCAAGGUGGGGCCUGUGGCAGUUGUUGCCUGAGCACCAAGUCACCCAAGUCACCUAUGCAACAACUUCUGGGCUCAGGAGUAAUUUCUCAGCACUGAGGGUAAAAUAGGAAGGAAUGCUCUGUUGAUCAUUUGGGAGAUGUAGGUUAGCUGAUUGGUGCCUUGGGAUGCAGCAUGAAGCAGAAGUCCAUAUUGCAAUUAUGAUUUUAGAAGGAACUAAGCAUUUCACCAGCCAGCCAAGUAAUUAUUUUCUUUACCUUGAAAUCAUAUUUGAGUUGUAACCCCAGAGUUCAAUUUCUUAUUGUAAAUUCACUAACUUACUGUGUAACAUUACUUCUCACUUGAACCUCUCACUAUCUGUUGUGAUUCUGAGCAGAAGAUGUCUUUUGAUUGCAGUAUGUAAGGCAACCCCUGUAGAAGGAGACAAAAUGAGGAGAAAGAGAACAAAGCCUGCAGGACCAGAGGCAUACAGAUGGACAUUUUACUCACACCCACAGCAGCAAGAAUGACUUCCUGCAGCAUAUACUCCACGUGUAAUAGCACUUUGGAACUGUGGGCAAAACCAAAAGGCUAGUGUUUCCAUUUAUGUAUGGGGUUGAACUGGAAAAUUCCCUGAGGCAUAAUUCAUUGGCCAAAUUUUGAGAGGGUAUAGAAGAUGACUUUAGAAAUGAGUGGUUUUGGCCGGGCGCGGUGGCUCAAGCCUGUAAUCCCAGCACUUUGGGAGGCCGAGACGGGCG